AGUUCGGAUUGAAGGCUGAAAUUCGCCUUCAUGAAGCCGGAAUUGCUAGUAAUGGCAGGUCAGCAUACUGCCGUGAAUACGUUCCCGGGCCCUUGUACACACCGCCCGUCACACCAUGAGAGUUGGGAAUACCCGAAGCCUGUGAGCUAACUAAUAGAGGCAGCAGUCGAAGGUAGAAUCAAUGAUUGGGGUGAAGUCGUAACAAGGUAUC
rnacentral:rRNA from 1 species